rnacentral:lncRNA from 1 species
UCGAAACAAAAUUUGGCAAUGGGCAUGUAAUUUACAACUCGCAAAAUCCUAAAAUCUGAACUAUUUAUUAAUUCUUAAUCCAAUGGUAGAUAUGAAAUUGAUGAAAAUACGACCGUUAUGCAGACAUGAUUUAUAACCCCCUUGCUCAUUAAAGAAAAGCAGUUAGUCUUCGGGGUUUUCUAUCAAUGUUUAGAGCGAUGAGUCUUAGGGGUUUUCUAUCAUUAAGAACUAGACAAGUAUUUUUGAAGAUGGAUCCAAGUACUGUACCAAGAAAAAAUGUACCAAGAAAAAUAGGCGACUCACUUUUUAAAGAUAAUUUCUAUAAUUUCUUUUGCUAUAUGAUUAUCAUGUUUUUUAUUCAUGCAUAGAAUGAAUCUUGAAGGAUAGUUUAAAUUCAGGGUUUUUGUUCUUUGCUUCAACUGAUGAUCAAUUUGGGUGAAACAUUGGGAUUUGUUUUUGUGAAUUUCUGAAGGCUUCAUCUAUUUUUUUAUUUUUUUUGCCCUUCCUGACCGUUGUCUCCUGUUAUCAAUAAGAACUAGACAAGGAUUUUAAUUCAAGUGCUAUUCCAGAUCAACACAAAGGUAAGUUAAUAAUAAGAUAUUUAAAAAACGGGUCAGUCUAUUUUCACGAUAGUUUCUAUAAUUUCUUUAGCUAUACGAUGAUAAAUCAAGUUUCAGUUGAUUCUGUUUUUGUGAAUUCUCUGAGGGUUUUCAUAGAAUCUCUAAAUUUUAGGAUUCAGCAAUUAUCUUCUCUUUUUUCUAUUACAAUAUGUUCUUUGUUGGUUCACAAGGAUGAAUCUUGUAAGAUAUUUUCUUUGUUGAAUUGAUAAUCAAAUUUGGGUUUCAAUAUAAUUAUUUUUGUGAAAUCCAUGGGAGUUUUUGCUAGAUCUUUAAUGGUUGUGUUUGGUGUUCCUUUUCAUUCAAUGUUUAGCUAUUUUAACGACUGUGUACUUAGAGUGAUAAGUCUCUGUUGUUCGUUUAAUUUUUUGUCUUUAUAAUUGCAUUCUUUGUUAGCGCAUUUGGAUGGAUCUUGAAGUAUUGGACCUUUUGGAUUGAUAAUCAAUCUUGGAUUUUACUGUAAUUGUAUCUGUUCUGUGAAUUUAUAUAUAGGUUGAAUCUUUAAUGGAAUUUGUAUUUGGUUUAAAUACUGAUAAGUUGGGGGGUUUACUUUUCAUUGUAUGUAUAGUUACUAAUUGUAUUUCAAGUGAUCAUGUUCUCUUUGUUUUUUUAAUUUUUAUAUCUUUGGUGCAUUGGCUUGAAUCUCUACAGAUAUUUCCUGGGUUCAAUUUUUGGUUUGCUAAAUUUAUAUGUGAAUUCUCUUUGCAUUUGCGGUGCAUCCUUAACAUAAUGUGUUCCAAGUGAUCAUGUUCUUCCUCUCUCUCUCUUUCUUUUAUUUUUUAUUUGUAUAUCUUUGGUACAUUGGCUUGAAUCUUUAAGAUAUUUCCAGGGUUCAAUUUGCGGUUUGCUAAAUAUAUACGUGAAUUCUAUUUGCAUUUGCGUUGCAUCUUUAACAGAACCAUGCUUUUUGCAUUUGUUUGGAUUGAAUAAGGAUUACUGGUAAGUUGUGGCUUUUCUUUAUGUAUGCUUAUUUCAUCAUUUUUAUUUCUUACUGUGAUAAUGUUCUCUUCAUUAAGUAAUUCAUGUGUUGUUAUGAUUUAGUUCUUUAUGGUAUAUUUGGAUGAAUAUUGAAGGAUCCUUGUGGGUCUUGUUCUUUGGAUGAUGACCAAUCUUGGAUUUCAUGGGAUUUGUUUCUGUGAAUUCUUUGUGGGUUGAAUUUUUAUUUGUGAAUUUAGUGUUUGGUUUAUGGUUCCUUUUUUCAUUCCAUGAAUGGUUAUUUUAAAAAUUAUGUUCUUGUCUUUAUGAUUACAGCAAUUGUGUUCUAAGUGUAUCACGCUCUCUUUGUUUCUCUAAUUUUUAUAUCUUUGGUGCAUUAGUUAGAAUCUAGAAGGAUUUUUUCAACGUUCGGUUUGCUAGAUUUAUUUAUGUAAGUUUUCUAUGCCUUUUCGCUGCAUCUUUAACAGCACUUGUGCUUUUUGUUUUAGGA